AACACAUCACCACUACUGUUCAUACACAUCCAAAACCUAAACUCUUCGAAUGCUUUGGCGAAACCACCCUCGUCCCUUCCGAUCGUCCCCUUCGAAUCCGACCAAUGCUUUCUGAAAACCAGCCUUGAUCCUGUCGGUCGUCCUCUCGAAAAUCAGCCUCUCGUCCUUUAAUUUCGAUCGUCCCCUUCGAAACUUGCCACUUGAACCCCUUCAAAUCCAGCCCAAAAUUUUGAGUGAAACAUUGCUUGUUUGCGCAUUUUAAUUUUGUAUUUGGCUAACAAGAGAAGGUUUUGAAUCCACUAUUUGAGAAGCGUCCCAAGCAGUUCGGUAUUGGAGGAGCUUUGCCACCAAAGAGGGAUUUAAACAUAUUUGUCAAAUGGCCAACGACUGUUCAGCUCCAGAGGAAGAAGAGAAUCCUUAAGCAGAGGUUGAAGGUUUCACCACAGUUGAAUCAGUUCACCAAGGCUUUGGAAAACAAACCUUGUGGUCUUCAUAUUUUAUCCCGAAAUUUGUGGGACUGAUCCUAGGGCUUCUGCACUAGAGGCAAACGUAGAGGUGGAGGAGGCAGCGCCAUUAGAAUCAACUUCAGCAGGUUCUCAAGGAUAACAUACAGCUGCUGAGGCAACGAUAUUACUAUGAAACUUGGAAAGCUGAUGGGACACGAUAUAUGAUGUUAAUAAACGUUGAUGGAUGCUACGAUUGAUAGAAGUUUCAACUUUAGAAGGGUUCAGAUGAGAUUUCCUUGCAAAUCUACAAGCGAAGUAUGCUUUCUAUAACUUUUGAGAUAAAAUUAUUCUUGGACCUUAUUUUUUGAAUUAUUAAAUACAAGGUUACUACUUUUUGUUAUAGUAUAUUUUAUGAUUGUUGCUAUUAAUUUUUGCAUUAUGUAAUUAGUUUAUAGUUAGUUAUUACGAGGAAUAUAAAUUUUAGGAUCGUUUCUAUUAACAAUUUUGGUAUUAUGUAAUUAGUUAAUAAAAUUAAUUACUAAUUUUAUAUAAGUUUUAUAAACGUUGUUUUAAUUUU